rnacentral:misc_RNA from 1 species
UAAUAAGUGUUUUAUGGCACUUUUUAAAUCCAUAUCCACCUUGUGUGCAAUGUCAGUCGAUUCUUUCUUCAUAGGAGAUCGACCAAACAUCAACCUUAUUCUAUUAACUCUUUGUCUGAAAACUAUUAUGAAUAAACUAAUUCAAAAUA